CUUGCCUUGCUUGGUUCUGAGGGAUGGGGUCGUCCUUUGGGGAGGCGCCACCCUUGAAAUCCAACGGCGGACAACCACCAGUGCGACUGCAGCGUAGUAACUCAUUCUCUCGCUAGCGGCCAUGGAGGCACUGUCCUGCCGAUCAAACCCCCACAUCAAUGGUUGACCUCGGAUCAGGUAGGGAUACCCGCUGAACUUAA
rnacentral:misc_RNA from 1 species